UGAAUACGAGACGCUAAGGCGUCGAAGUAGUGUAUGUCAUACUUCCAAGAAAAGCUUGCACUGUCAUAGAUAAAAAACGCCUGUACCAUAACCGACACAGGUGGGUAGGUAGAGUAUACUAAGGGGCGCGAGAUAACUCUCUAAGGAACUCGGCAAAAUAACUCCGUAACUUCGGGAGAAGGAGUGCCUUAUUCGUAAGGUUGCAAUAACAAGAUCCAAGCAACUGUUUAUCAAAAACACAGGUCUCCGCUAAGUCGUAAGACGAUGUAUGGGGGCUGACGCCUGCCCAGUGCCAGAAGGUUAAAGAAGAUGGUUAGCAAUUGCGAAGCUGAUAACUGGAGCCCUGGUGAACGGCGGCCGUAACAAUAACGGUCCUAAGGUAGCGAAAUUCCUUGUCGGGUAAGUUCCGACCCGCACGAAAGGCGUAAUGAUUUGGAUACUGUCUCGGAGAGGGGCUCGGUGAAAUAGACUUGUCUGUGAAGAUGCGGACUACCUGCACCAGGACAGAAAGACCCUAUGAAGCUUUACUGUAACUUGAAAUUGAAAUUGGACUUUAUUCGCGCAGUAUAGGUGGGAGGCGUUGAUUAUAAUCUUGUGGGAUUAUUGGAGCCAUCAGUGAGAUACCACUCUUGUAAUGUUAGAUUUCUAACUUUGAAUCAUUAUCUGGUCAAAGAACAGUUUCAGGCGGGCAGUUUGACUGGGGCGGUCGCCUCCUAAACGGUAACGGAGGCGUACAAAGGUUUCCUCUGAACGGUUAGAAAUCGUAUCUAGAGUGUAAAGGCAUAAGGAAGCUUGACUGUGAGACCUACAAGUCGAGCAGGGACGAAAGUCGGUCUUAGUGAUCUGACGGUACUGAGUGGAAAGGCCGUCACUCAACGGAUAAAAGUUACUCUAAGGAUAACAGGCUGAUCUCCCCCAAGAGUUCACAUCGACGGGGAGGUUUGGCACCUCGAUGUCGGCUCAUCGCAUCCUGGGGCGGUAGUACGUCCCAAGGGUUGGGCUGUUCGCCCAUGAAAGCGGUACGCGAGCUGGGUUCAGAACGUCGUGAGACAGUUCGGUCCAUAUCCGGUGUAGGCGUUAGAAUAUUGAGAGGAGCCUUCUUUAGUACGAGAGGACCGAGAAGGACAUACCUCUGGUGUACCAGUUAUCGUGCCAACGGUAAACGCUGGGUAGCUAUGUAUGGAGUGGAAAACCGCUGAAAGCAUCUAAGUGGGAAGCCCACCUCAAGAUAAG
rnacentral:rRNA from 1 species